GACGAACGCUGGCGGCGUGCCUAAUACAUGCAAGUAGAACGCUGAAGGAGGAGCUUGCUUCUCUGGAUGAGUUGCGAACGGGUGAGUAACGCGUAGGUAACCUGCCUGGUAGCGGGGGAUAACUAUUGGAAACGAUAGCUAAUACCGCAUAAUAGUAGAUGUUGCAUGACAUUUGCUUAAAAGGUGCAAUUGCAUCACUACCAGAUGGACCUGCGUUGUAUUAGCUAGUUGGUGGGGUAACGGCUCACCAAGGCGACGAUACAUAGCCGACCUGAGAGGGUGGUCGGCCACACUGGGACUGAGACACGGCCCAGACUCCUACGGGAGGCAGCAGUAGGGAAUCUUCGGCAAUGGACGGAAGUCUGACCGAGCAACGCCGCGUGAGUGAAGAAGGUUUUCGGAUCGUAAAGCUCUGUUGUAAGAGAAGAACGAGUGUGAGAGUGGAAAGUUCACACUGUGACGGUAUCUUGCCAGAAAGGGACGGCUAACUACGUG
rnacentral:rRNA from 1 species